rnacentral:tRNA from 1 species
GGGCGUCUAGCGCAGUGGUAGCGCGUCCGCUUUGCAUCAAGGCUGCGGAAGGUCUAGGGUUCGAUCCCCUAGUCGUCCA